rnacentral:lncRNA from 1 species
AUUUAUGUAUAAAUUAAAAAACAUUGAAUCAGGUUCUGGUAAGUUUAGUUUUUAUUUUCUACAUCUGAAUACUUUUUACGUAAUUCUGUUAGUUAAAAAAUGAUUUUGUAUUUGUCUUUUUUAUCUUAUUAUUUUUUUUUCCAUUUGCAAUCAUCUUAAAUUUGCUAUCUGGACCAAUAACCAAGCUCAUUCCAGGUAGUCUCUUUCUUUCAUUCCCCUGUCCAUAUCGUUCUUUUGUUUUAAUAUGUUUGAUGGUUCGUUUCAAAGCUGAAUUUCACUCAUGUUGUCAAAAAUAGUAAUUUAUCUCACUGUUUUCUGUUCUUCGGUUAGUCAUUUACUAAAAAUAGCCUAUUAACGAAUAGAGGUUUUUUUUAUUUCUAUUUAUAGUGUUAGUUUAAACAGUAUUUAUUAAUGAAAAAUGUCAAGACAAAUAUUACAAUGUUACAUAUGUUCAAAUAUGGGAUUCGGAAACAAGUUUGGAAAAACUUUUAUAAAUCCGUCUCACUAUUUAUAGUGUUGUAUUAGGUUUUAAAAGUUAUUGAAUAAUGCACAGUCAUACAGGGGCGGAUCCAGCCAUUUUAAAAAGGGGGGGUUCCCAACCCAGAGUAAAAGGGGGGGGUUCCAGCUAUAUGCUCCCAUUUAAAUGCAUUGAUCGGCAAAAAAAAAGGGGGGUUUCAACCCCCGGAACCCCCCCCCCCCCUUCUGGAUCCGCGCCUGGUCAUACCUUAUUGCAUGGGGUUGAAUGCAUACAUAAAUCAACAAAAUAAGUUUACAAUACAUCAUCAAAAAUAUAAAAGAACAAAUUUAACAUGAUAAACAUCAUUUUGAAUUAUGAGUAGUAAAUAUGAGUUAUAUAUAAUGAGACAAUUUGUGAUAGAGCGUAAAUAAGACGAUAUUUCUCUUAUCUGUUAAAGUCAUAAGAAACCUCAAAUUAAAAAAAAAUAAUGCAUAUGUUUUUUAUAUCUCAAUUGAUAGUUUUCAUUAUAAAACUUAUGUACAUAUACUUUUUUUCUGAAGAAAAUUCUUUAAUUUAUUCAUAUUUAGAAGAAGUUUACUUUCUUUUAAUUGCUUCCUCCUUCCAGGAAGCAAUUCCCCCGACAUAUAUGCAAAGUGACCUCAGUGUAACCCAUCUCGUAAAAAUCCGGUGAUCGCAAUACGCAUGGAUGACCUUAAGGUUCAUGUGGACCCUAUGGCUAAAAUGGCCGUAUUUUCACCUCAAAAUUUACUCUGAGUACAGACAAACCUGCGCAUCUGCAAAAAAUUCCAGGCACAGCAUGCCCUAGAUAAAUAAAUUUCAAAUAUGUUUUAUGUUUUAGAAAAAUAAAAACUUACCAGGAUUUUGCCGUGCACUUUUUUUCAUUCCUCCAGAAGGUGCCAAAAUAAACUAAGUUGGGAAACAGGUUAGAACUUUCCCACAGGUAAUAAUUGAAGUGAGCUGUAAUGCUUGACAUGGACAUGAGAUGGACAAUAGAUACCUAACAGUAGAGCAUUUGCAUUAAUCAAGUAUUUGCUGGCGUAUCCGUAUCGACGUAUCGUAUAACACGUAUAUGAGGAAAAGAUAAAAUAAGUCAAGUUGGUCCCGAUGAAAAUAUUAUAUAAUGCAUUAAAUUUUAAUUGAGAUCGGGGUAAAAUCAUUAUUUUAUACAAAUCUGCCCGAUACGUAUACUUAAACAAGUAUUUGCUGGCGUAUCCGAAUCGACGUAUCGUGUAACACGUAUAUGAGGAAAAGAUAAUUAAGUCAUGUUGGUCCUGAUGAAAAUAUUAUAUAAUACAUUUAAUUUUGAUUGCAAUCGGGGUAAAAUCAUUAUUGUAAACAAAUCUGUUCGAUCCGUAUACCUCGAUCCGUGCACGUAUUCUGAUACGUGAAUAAUGCAAAUGCUCUAAUAAUUGGUCAUUUAAACUGUGUACCUGAGUGGACCAUAUCAAGGUAAACUCAACUGUUUGUUAAUUUUAUCAUCUUCUGCAGAGACGAAAAAAAGUGUACGGAAAAAUCCAGUUAAGUUAUGAAUUUUCCAAUGAAUUUUCUAAUUCAUACAAUGCAUUUGAAUUCUAUUUAUCUAGGGCAUGCUAUGCCUUAAAACUUUUCCAAAUGCACAGGUUUGCCUGUACUCAGGGUAAAUUUUGAGGUGAAAAUACAGCCAUUUUAGCCAUAGGGUCCACAUGAACCUUAAAAUAAACAAUUAUCUGAAUUUACAUGUUGAACACGUGCUCAAUUUCCAUGCUUUUUUGUUGAUUUUAUGUUGAAACAGGUGACCAUCGUUAAACUUCGGCUUCAAUACACGAACUUAUCAACACUUCAAAACGAGACCAGGCAUUAUCAGCGACGUCACAAUGUGAGAGGAAAAGUUAUCAGCGACGUCACAAUGCGAGAGGAGACGUUAUCAAGCUUGCUUUUUCGUCAAGCGUAAAACUGGCUUAGAAAGAAAGAAAAGACCAGUAAUAGAACGAUAAAAAGAUAAUCGGGUUUUCUUCGUAAAGAUAUCAUAAAAUAUCAACCGCUCGACACAAUGUGAAACUUUUUAGCUCGUUUGCUGCGCUCACUCGCCAAAAAGGUUCACAUUGUGGCUCGAGGCUGAUAUUUUACGAUAUCAAUGUGUAGAAAACCCGAUAAUCUGUACAUAUAUAUCUAUACAAAGUUAGUCAUCCCCACGUUUUUUCGAAAUGACAAAUACUACGAUAAGGGUCAUAUGAUCCCGAAACAAAUGUUGUCAAAAAAACUAAUGCAGCCUGUUGGUACAUUACAUUUGCUUUAAGGGGAAACAAAAUUAAUCUAAAAUGAUAAUUUAAUGAUUAGAUUGUGACAAAACCACAAGUACAGUUUAAACACUAAAACAUGUCCAAUUUAAGUAUGGGUCUUCUGAGUUCGUUUUGCACGAUGCUAUUGUCAUUUCACUUAGAAAACGUUCAAUGUAAGUCUGUUAACUAUAUCCAUAGUUCAAUAUUCAACAUCGGGUGAAACCACCACGUGAUUGGAUGCAGCCGUCAUUCCUGCGUCUCAUCCAUCCAGUUAGCCGUCGGAUUUCCUGCUGUCGGUUUUCCGCCAUUCUUGGUGCAAUGCUGAUUCCAAAUGACGUAAUUUUUUACAGGUUGUUCGGCUGCCUAUUCCCGACGGCCUAACGUGUCCUAAAUAUGCUCUAUCGGAUUCGAUUGCGGGCUCAUUACAGGCCAAGGAAGAGCAGUUACUGCUUCGCAUUGACGAAAUGCGGUAACCGUCUUUGAAUGAUGCGGCCUAGUGUUGUCAUCCAUAAACACAAGUUGUGCAGCUAAUGAGUGGUUAUCAAAAUUAGGUUCAACUAAUGACUGAAUAACUUCUCUGAUGUAUUGUUCACCAUUAAGGUUUCCUCGCAUAGUCACCCAGUCUAAUUUGCAGUCAUGAGAGAUGUAACUCCAUACCAUCACAAUGCCUCCACCGAUAAAAUUAUCACCAGUGGUCUACCAGAUCUUGGCAAGUCUUCCGCGUUAACGUUAUUUGUUUUGAUGGGUUUUUUUUCGCACAAGCCUGCUGCAUACAGAACAUUGGUAGACCAGUAGCCCCUUUGACGUCCAAUAACUUUAUAAGAUAAUCCUGAUGACUGCAUGCCGAUAAACUGCCACAUUUGAACCUCCGAUAUUCGUCUUCGUAACAUGUUCACAGAGUAUGGAUAAAAUCUUUAAAUCGCCGGAUUAAAAUACUCAAAUUUGAAGCGCGGGGAAACUGCAUUUUUUAAUUUGCAUGGAGGCAUGGUUCACGUGUAUGCUACAGCGAUAUCUUAAUAACCGGUUAAACCUGUAUGGUCACAUCUUUAUAAAGGAACAUUGGUCUUGUUAAAUUAAUAUUAAUAUUCAAAUUAACAUUUUUGGUAAAAAGCUAUAAUGCAAUAUAUCAGGGGGUGCUUAAAUUUUUCUUUAUUUUCAAAACGCGGAACAAAUCCGAACAAAAAAAUAUGUCAGUCAAAUGUUUACUCCUCAACAUAACUGUGAAAUACGAUAGAGAAAAUAUGCAGUACUUAUGAAAAAACACAAAAGGCGAUGCAUGUCUAUGAAAUUAAUUACAAAUAACACGCUUUUUGUACCUAUAAUGGUCAUAUUUCAGUUUAUCGUGAUAUAUUUGAAAUUUAAUCUUUGGUGUAUCUGAUAGUACAGUAAAAUGAAGAUAUGUUCUUCUCUUAAAAGCAUUAAUUUAUAUAUGAAAACCUUAAAUUUAUUGAAUAUCCAUCAAACUUGAUCGUGAGAGAUCAGGCAACGCAUUAUUUUGAUCGUGAAAGAUAAUGCGUGACCAGACUUAUUACUAUUAAUCAGAAAUCAGUAUUUCUUUUACCAUUUGAUAAACCUGCAAGUGGUGGAAGCCUGUAACUAUUUUGAUAAGGAUAAACAUUCAAGCUAUUUUUUUUUUAUUCAACACAUUACCUCGAAGUUAAAAAAAACAACAACUGAAAAUGUCUCUAAAUAAGUUUGAAAGAUUCAGCUCUGAGAAUCGGUCAAGUGCAAUUCAGGCAGACCAACACUAUUUAGCCAAUAAUAUGGAUAUGCACCGUUUAAACCAAAAUGAUAUCCAUAAUGUCUCGUCUGCUUUACUUAUGAUAGUUAAUUUUUGGAACGUCUAUAAUAUCAAGGGUUUUACUAGAAGUGUCAAAUGCACUUAAUGCGCUUAAUGUAUCUUUUCCAUCUGAUGAGUUAAGCCUUUUAAAUUGAUAGUUCGUUCUUACGUUGUACUGUUAUACCACUGUCUCAGGUUAGGGGAGGGUUGGGAUUCCGCUAACAUGUCUAACCCGCCACAUUAUUUAUGUAUGUGCCUGUCCAAAGUCAGGAGCCUGUAAUUCAGUGGCUGUCGUUUGUUUAUGUAUUACAUAUUUGUUUUUCGUUCAUUUUUUUAUACAAAUAAAGCCGUUAGUUUUCUCGUUUGAAUUGUUUUACAUUGUCAUAUCGGGGCCUUUUAUAGCUGACUAUGCGAUAUGGGCUUUACUCAUUGUUGAAGGCCGCACGGUGACCUAUAGUUGUUAACGUCUGUGUCAUUUUGGUCUCUUGUGGAUAGUUGUCUCAUUGGAAUCAUACCACAUCUUCUUUUUUUUAAAUUAUGAUUGUCAAUGGUUCAUAAAAAGAGUGCAAGGUCAGAUGAACCAUGACAUACAGAUCUCUACAAAUAUUCCGUAGAACAAAUAAAUGUGUUCCGAUCCUUAUGAAAAAAAUCAUGUUUGUAUACAUUUUUUAUGUCAUUGAAAUGCCGAGAAGCAAUCUGCCUUUUGUUGUUUUGUAAUAACUAUGUACUUUUAAAACUGGAUAUUCUCACAUACUGAUCAUGAUGUUGAACCAUUUUGACAGACAGUUUUAUUUUGUCGUAAAUUUAUCCAUGUUAUCUGUGUAAUUUAUUAGAUUAGAAUAUGUAUUGAUCUUUCAUAUGUCUUCUCGAUUAAAUGUCUUUCACGAUCCGUUACCAGAACUUUCACGAUCGUCUCUCAAUACUUGACCGCCGUUAGAUAUUCUUUCACGAUCAUUUCUCUCGUUAAACCGAAUGAUACCCGUGAUAUAUGGCUCAUUUUAUUAAUCAAUACCAAAUAAAGUACCGACGCAUAUUUUACUUUCACUCUUAAAAGAUAAUUGAUGGAGUUUUCUUCGCUUUCAAAAUCUCUUUAAAGCAUUUUAUCAUAAAAAAGAGUUGAAUAUGUGUUGUAGAAAAUCUUCAAUGGAUGUUUGAUAUUGAAGACAUUAUGCUUCAAAAGACUGGUAUAUCAGGACUGCCUGUGCAUAAUAAAUUGAUUUGCCAGGAAACCGAAGUGGGUGAGUUUAAAGUUUAAAAUAAACUAACAUAAUUAAAUAAAUGCAUAUUAAAUCGUUUUGACAUUAUAUGUUCUCCAAAACAAGCAUUCCAGAUUUUGUCUUUAACAUCAUCUUUUAGCUGUAAAUAUGAUUUAAUUUUCAUUGCAGUGUGUGUUUUUUUAAACCCGCUCUGAAAUUUGAUUUCAAUUCCAGUUGGUUGUAACAACUUCCUGUAUAUUCCUUUAAAAUAAUGGAAUACAAGGAAAUUAGCAUCACUUAAUGUAAAUCUUUGAAUGCCUUUUACUGUCUUUUUAACGAAAUAUGUUAAACUAAGCCAUUGGCAGCAGCUUUGAUAUGAAAUCUGGUAUGUUACCACAAAGCGCUCUUACCAUUGCUUUGUUAUUUCAUUUUAUGAUUAAUUUUGUGUUGUUUAUUAAUACAUAAAUAUAUUGAAAACGGUACCAGUUUUACUCCACCAGAUGCGCAUUUUGAGUAUGUAUGUCUCUUCAGUGAUACAGAACUCAAAAACAUGAAAGAUACGUUAAAAUCUGAUAUAUUCGAAACAAACAAAAAUACUGAUAAUAAGGAAGAGAUAUUAGAGCUAUGCACUUGGAAGAUCAGUUCUUUCAUAUCAUAUGACAUUAUAUUUUGACAACUUGCGAAUUUUAAUUAUUUAAAAAAAUAUACAUAUUUGUAAACCAGUCCUAUAAUGCUUCAGUACUAGACUUGACGAUACACUCGGGGAUCAUUAACAGAGGUAUAAACCUAUGUAGAGGAAGAAAUUAGUUUAAACAUUACCAGUUUUACUUACUUGUAUAGCAACGAGAUAGCAACUCACCAAGCAAACUUAACCAAGUUAUGAGAUCCCAUACCGUCUCAUAGAUUGCCUUAAAAAAACUAAAUGUCAUUCCCAUAUGUAAAAUUCUAAAGACAUUGCGUCUAGGCAAAAUUGAUACAAAUCAGCAAAGAUCAACAACAUGUCUUUAUGAAAACAAAACACAAAACAAAUAAUUUCAAACCUUGAACAGUUGAAUACGGAGAGUAUUAUAAGUAUUACAAUUGUUAUCUUAUUAAUUAUGUAGUUUCUUAUCUUUAUUAGGCAAAUACAAACCAUCUGGAAUAGCAACAAGUACUUCAAAGCAGGAUAUUAAACUGCAGACAAUCUUUAAAAGUAGAAACUUUGUAUUAAAU